GUGCUUGCUUUGGCAGCACACAUACUAAAAUUGGAACUAUACAGAGAAGAUUAGUGUGGCCCCAGCACAAAACUGGCAUGCAAAAUCAUGAAGCAUUUCAUAUAUUU
rnacentral:snRNA from 1 species